AAUAGAUACCCUGGUAGUCCACGCCGUAAACGAUGAGUGCUAAGUGUUAGAGGGUUUCCGCCCUUUAGUGCUGCAGCAAACGCAUUAAGCACUCCGCCGUGGGGAGUACGGCCGCAAGGCUGAAACUCAAAGGAAUUGACGGGGGCCCGCACAAGCGGUGGAGCAUGUGGUUUAAUUCGAAGCAACGCGAAGAACCUUACCAGGUCUUGACAUCUCCUGACAACCCUAGAGAUAGGGCGUUCCCCUUCGGGGGACAGGAUGACAGGUGGUGCAUGGUUGUCGUCAGCUCGUGUCGUGAGAUGUUGGGUUAAGUCCCGCAACGAGCGCAACCCUUGAUCUUAGUUGCCAGCAUUCAGUUGGGCACUCUAAGGUGACUGCCGGUGACAAACCGGAGGAAGGUGGGGAUGACGGUCAAAUCAUCAUGCCCCUUAUGACCUGGGCUACACACGUGCUACAAUGGAUGGUACAAAGGGCUGCGAGACCGCGAGGUUAAGCGAAUCCCAUAAAACCAUUCUCAGUUCGGAUUGCAGG
rnacentral:rRNA from 1 species